UCCUACGGGAGGCAGCAGUGGGGAAUUUUGGACAAUGGGGGCAACCCUGAUCCAGCCAUUCCGCGUGAGUGAAGAAGGCCUUCGGGUUGUAAAGCUCUUUCAGCGGGAACGAAACGGUGCGCUCUAACAUAGCGUAUUAAUGACGGUACCCGCAGAAGAAGCACCGGCUAACUACGUGCCAGCAGCCGCGGUAAU
rnacentral:rRNA from 1 species